rnacentral:rRNA from 1 species
ACGGGAGGCAGCAGUGGGGAAUAUUGGACAAUGGGGGGAACCCUGAUCCAGCGACGCCGCGUGAGUGAAGAAGUAUUUCGGUAUGUAAAGCUCUAUCAGCAGGGAAGAUAAUGACGGUACCUGACUAAGAAGCUCCGGCUAAAUACGUGCCAGCAGCCGCGGUAAUACGUAUGGAGCAAGCGUUAUCCGGAUUUACUGGGUGUAAAGGGAGCGUAGACGGCAUAGCAAGUCUGAUGUGAAAUCCCCGGGCGCAACCCGGGAACUGCAUUGGAAACAGUUAAGCUAGAGUGCAGGAGAGGUAAGUGGAAUUCCUAGUGUAGCAGUGAAAUGCGUAGAUAUUAGGAGGAACACCAGUGGCGAAGGCGGCUUACUGGACUGUAACUGACGUUGAGGCUCGAAAGCGUGGGGAGCAAACAGGAUUAGAUACCCUGGUA